rnacentral:rRNA from 1 species
GAUGAACGCUGGCGGCGUGCCUAAUACAUGCAAGUCGAGCGAACGGACGAGAAGCUUGCUUCUCUGAUGUUAGCGGCGGACGGGUGAGUAACACGUGGAUAACCUACCUAUAAGACUGGGAUAACUUCGGGAAACCGGAGCUAAUACCGGAUAAUAUUUUGAACCGCAUGGUUCAAAAGUGAAAGACGGUCUUGCUGUCACUUAUAGAUGGAUCCGCGCUGCAUUAGCUAGUUGGUAAGGUAACGGCUUACCAAGGCAACGAUGCAUAGCCGACCUGAGAGGGUGAUCGGCCACACUGGAGCUGAGACACGGUCCAGACUCCUACAGGAGGCAGCAGUAGGGAAUCUUCCGCAAUGGGCGAAAGCCUGACGGAGCAACGCCGCGUGAGUGAUGAAGGUCUUCGGAUCGUAAAACUCUGUUAUUAGGGAAAAACAUAUGUGUAAGUAACUGUGCACAUCUUGACGGUACCUAAUCAGAAAGCCACGGCUAACUACGUG